rnacentral:rRNA from 1 species
UACGUAGGGCGCAAGCGUUGUCCGGAAUUAUUGGGCGUAAAGAGCUCGUAGGCGGCUUGUCACGUCGGGUGUGAAAGCCCGGGGCUUAACCCCGGGUCUGCAUUCGAUACGGGCUAGCUAGAGUGUGGUAGGGGAGAUCGGAAUUCCUGGUGUAGCGGUGAGAUGCGCAGAUAUCAGGAAGAACACCCGUGGCGAAGGCGGCUCUCUGGGACGGUACUGACGCUGAGACGCGAAAGCGUGGGGAGCAAACAGG